rnacentral:rRNA from 1 species
GACGAACGCUGGCGGCGUGCUUAACACAUGCAAGUCGAACGGAAAGGCCCUGCUUUUGUGGGGUGCUCGAGUGGCGAACGGGUGAGUAACACGUGAGUAACCUGCCCUUGACUUUGGGAUAACUUCAGGAAACUGGGGCUAAUACCGGAUAGGAGCUCCUGCUGCAUGGUGGUGUUUGGAAAUUUUCGGCGGUUGGGGAUGGGCUCGCGGCUUAUCAUCUUGUUGGUGGGGUAGUGGCUUACCAAGGCUUUGACGGGUAGCCGGCCUGAGAGGGUGACCGGCCACAUUGGGACUGAGAUACGGCACAGAAUCCUACGGGAGGCAGCAGUGGGGAAUAUUGCACAAUGGGCGGAAGCCUGAUGCAGCAACGCAGCGUGCGGGAUGACGGCCUUCGGGUUGUAAACCGCUUUCGCCUGUGACGAAGCGUGAGUGACGGUAAUGGGUAAAGAAGCACCGGCUAACUACGUG